rnacentral:tRNA from 1 species
GGGCGCGUGGCCGGGGCGCGGCGGCGGUACGGGCCCCUGCGCGGCCUGUGGGACCGCGGCGGGCGGUACGGGCCCGGACGCGCCCGC